GCUGCCCUCCGCCCCCGCCGCCGGUCGCCUCCCUCAGCCGCCUCCCCCUCCCGGGCUCCCCACCUCUCGACCCCCGCUGCCGCCCCACCCCCUCCGACCUCCGCCAUCCGCUCCGCCCUGCCACCGCAAUUGCUAGGGUUAGGGUUAGAAAGGAGGGACGGCCAACGGAUCCAGGCGUGCGGUCGGGCGGAGGAGCACGGGCGCAGGUGCGGCGGCGGCGGAGCUCCACUGCAGGUGUCGCUGGCAUUCGCACUUCGCAGCGGCGGGGCUCCGUUGCGGCCGCCGAAGUUGGGUGCCAGCAGAGGUCGCCUGCAGGCCCCUACGGCUGCUCACGGCUGCGUGGACCAUCGACCCUCUGCUCCUGCCACCUAUGUGCGUGGCGCCACCACUGUUUUAUCUUCCAUUGGGGCGGGCAGUGGAGCUUAGCUGGAGGCCGCGGCUGGGGCAAAAGGGGCACGCGGUGGAGCUCAGUGGUGGGGUGGGCGGCGGAGUUCGGAUGGAGGGCACAACUGCUCUACUCGUGGUGGCCGCCGAUGCCUUCUGCUGCAGGUCUAUGUGGUGCCGUGGUGGCCAGGGGACGGCCGUAUGGCAGCGAUGCAGCAGUGGUGCAUCACUCACAAUGCUGCUGUGCAAUGGCAACACUCCUAGCAGCAGCCCGACAGCAUUGCUGCAGGUAUGUUCAGUAGUAGGCAACCAAGGACGGAAGGGCCUAGGUAACUACAACAAGUAAGGUAAUUACUCACUUCAUUGAUUAGGAACUAGGAAUAUAUCCAUGUAAUCCUAUAGGAUUGUUACUGUUAUGAUUUGCAUGUAAUUCGACAAACUGAAAAUCAUAUAUCCAUGUGGCCCUAUAGGAUUGUUAAUGUGCAAUUCAACAAACCGAAGAUUAAAGAAUUGUUGUAACAUGGACAAAGAUGGAGACAUCGCAUCUGUUUUUUUUUCAGAAAAUAUGUGAUAAAGAGGACGGCUUUGCCUUCCCUGGUAGUGGUUUUGAAGGAAGAACAAACUGAACAUCCAUGUAUGCUGAGAUAGCCGAUGACAUGGGCAUAAAUUUUGAGUUCAGAUUGGUAAUACUUCAGUUAGCACAAGACACAUAUAGUUUGUAUCCAACUUGCACUUUUUCCAACUCAAGAUCAAUGUUUAAUGGAACAGGGUAUCAUUGUUCCAAGGAUGGUUGCACAGGUAUAACUAUAUUGAUCUUUAGGCACAUUUUAGAUUCUCUAAUAACUAAAAGUGUUAUCAGUAUUAGGCUAAAUGUGUAAUGUAAUGAUAAUUCUAUAUAUCAUAUAUAUUUAUAUACUACUGAUGAAUAAGAUGAGACAAUAAUAGUAGUACCUCGUGAUGAAUGUAUAUCUUAUAUACUUAGUACCUAUGUCAUAACUAGGAAUUCUUUACCUUUAGCUCAUCGUCUACUCUACCGGUUCCCUUUCCAGAUUUGUAAAGUAGUAUCUCUAUACACAUUAUUUCUCAUUUCUUUACAUACUUCAGAAAUCAAUAAAAUUGUGUUUUGGAACGAAAUAAGUGCUAUGGCAUCGGUUUGCCUAGAGGAAGAAACAUGUAGUGUUGGUGCCAUUGGUUGUCAGUGACAUUGUUUAUUCUAUUGAAAAAACAAUAUGGUCCUAAUCAAGCACAACAUAUAUAAAGGUCAAGUACAUGUUUGCUCUUUUCACAGCCAAAUUUUUUACAUAAUUCAUGGUUCAUCUCUUACCCUAAUGUACACCUCUUUCUUAAAACUAAAUAUUUUCAUACCAUAUUCUCAUUUGUUUAAAUUGAAUGUGCAUGUGUAUAACCCAAAUGGAAGCACAUGGGAGCUCAUCAGACUAAGUGACUAACGAUAGGAUCUCUUGGCUAUGGUAAUGGCUGAAGCAUUUGGGGUACUUCUGUAUAAAUAGGAUCUGGUCAUGAAUUAAGAUAUUUGCAGCCUCCCAAACAGAGAUGUCAGGGUCGACAGUAUGCUACGUGUAAUCUCCAAUUUGCCUUGCUAACGCAUAUGCAGUUAUAUAAGGUCUUCUAAUCAAUUAUAAGUACAUGAUCAAUGCAACAAAGGUAGAUGAUCAGUGCAACAUAACGUUCAUGUUUAGAUUUUGUUGUGUGCAGCAAAGCCACUUUUGAUCUCUCCUUGAAGGCAGCUGGGUAUUUGGACUAUGCAAUUCAUCUUGCAUGCGGCCUCCAAUUGCAUAUGGGUAUAUGAUAUAAUUUCGAGGAUCCUAUUUCUAUUGCUCUAAAGAGGGUUAUAUCUCUUCAUGGUGCCUAAAGUACAAAUUGGUAUUUCUCUCACCAGAUAACAUAGCAGCGCUUCAGACUUUAUAUUAAAAAUAUCUUGAUUUUCUUCUACUAUGUCUUAUUGGAGGACUGAAGUGUAGAAAUGAGCAAAUUAGGGUGAUUUUCCCUAUGCAUUGUUCUGAUGAUCUGCUGCUAAUUUCUACCUUUGUAAUUUUUCUUUCGGAAUUACUCUAUGGGUAUUUGCAAUAAAGAAAACUCUUUGUAGAUGA